UGCUAUGAUGGUGUAAUUUGCGUCUUACACUGUACAGCACGACAGUUGCCUGCUGUCAUUAAGCUGUUACAGAGGAAUGACGAACAUUGAAAUCUGAGCA